rnacentral:rRNA from 1 species
GGUUAAGCGACUAAGCGUACACGGUGGAUGCCCUGGCAGUCAGAGGCGAUGAAGGACGUGCUAAUCUGCGAUAAGCGCCGGUAAGGUGAUAUGAACCGUUAUAACCGGCGAUUUCCGAAUGGGGAAACCCAGUGUGAUUCGUCACACUAUCAUUAACUGAAUCCAUAGGUUAAUGAGGCGAACCGGGGGAACUGAAACAUCUAAGUACCCCGAGGAAAAGAAAUCAACCGAGAUUCCCCCAGUAGCGGCGAGCGAACGGGGAGGAGCCCAGAGCCUGAAUCAGCAUGUGUGUUAGUGGAAGCGUCUGGAAAGGCGCGCGAUACAGGGUGACAGCCCCGUACACAAAAGCGCAUGUGCUGUGAGCUCGAUGAGUAGGGCGGGACACGUGGUAUCCUGUCUGAAUAUGGGGGGACCAUCCUCCAAGGCUAAAUACUCCUGACUGACCGAUAGUGAACCAGUACCGUGAGGGAAAGGCGAAAAGAACCCCGGCGAGGGGAGUGAAAAAGAACCUGAAACCGUGUACGUACAAGCAGUGGGAGCACCCUUCGGGGUGUGACUGCGUACCUUUUGUAUAAUGGGUCAGCGACUUAUAUUCUGUAGCAAGGUUAACCGUAUAGGGGAGCCGGAGGGAAACCGAGUCUUAAUUGGGCGUUAAGUUGCAGGGUAUAGACCCGAAACCCGGUGAUCUAGCCAUGGGCAGGUUGAAGGUUGGGUAACACUAACUGGAGGACCGAACCGACUAAUGUUGAAAAAUUAGCGGAUGACCUGUGGCUGGGGGUGAAAGGCCAAUCAAACCGGGAGAUAGCUGGUUCUCCCCGAAAGCUAUUUAGGUAGCGCCUCGUGAAUUCAUCUCCGGGGGUAGAGCACUGUUUCGGCUAGGGGGCCAUCCCGGCUUACCAACCCGAUGCAAACUGCGAAUACCGGAGAAUGUUAUCACGGGAGACACACGGCGGGUGCUAACGUCCGUCGUGAAGAGGGAAACAACCCAGACCGCCAGCUAAGGUCCCAAAGUCAUGGUUAAGUGGGAAACGAUGUGGGAAGGCCCAGACAGCCAGGAUGUUGGCUUAGAAGCAGCCAUCAUUUAAAGAAAGCGUAAUAGCUCACUGGUCGAGUCGGCCUGCGCGGAAGAUGUAACGGGGCUAAACCAUGCACCGAAGCUGCGGCAGCGAACGUAUCACCCAAGACAACUUUACGGAGUUGACGAUUGACGGAGCGAAGCGACGUCAAAGCGUUCAUUAAAGUCGAGUUGGCUUAGGGAUACGUUCGUUGGGUAGGGGAGCGUUCUGUAAGCCUGUGAAGGUGUGUCGUGAGGCAUGCUGGAGGUAUCAGAAGUGCGAAUGCUGACAUAAGUAACGAUAAAGCGGGUGAAAAGCCCGCUCGCCGGAAGACCAAGGGUUCCUGUCCAACGUUAAUCGGGGCAGGGUGAGUCGACCCCUAAGGCGAGGCCGAAAGGCGUAGUCGAUGGGAAACGGGUUAAUAUUCCCGUACUUGGUGUUACUGCGAAGGGGGGACGGAGAAGGCUAUGUUGGCCGGGCGACGGUUGUCCCGGUUUAAGGGUGUAGGUGUGUGUUCCAGGUAAAUCCGGUUCACUUUAACACUGAGGCGUGACGACGAGGCACUACGGUGCUGAAGCAACAAAUGCCCUGCUUCCAGGAAAAGCCUCUAAGCAUCAGGUAACACGAAAUCGUACCCCAAACCGACACAGGUGGUCAGGUAGAGAAUACCAAGGCGCUUGAGAGAACUCGGGUGAAGGAACUAGGCAAAAUGGUGCCGUAACUUCGGGAGAAGGCACGCUGACACGUAGGUGAAGUGAUUUACUCAUGGAGCUGAAGUCAGUCGAAGAUACCAGCUGGCUGCAACUGUUUAUUAAAAACACAGCACUGUGCAAACACGAAAGUGGACGUAUACGGUGUGACGCCUGCCCGGUGCCGGAAGGUUAAUUGAUGGGGUCAGCGUAAGCGAAGCUCCUGAUCGAAGCCCCGGUAAACGGCGGCCGUAACUAUAACGGUCCUAAGGUAGCGAAAUUCCUUGUCGGGUAAGUUCCGACCUGCACGAAUGGCGUAAUGAUGGCCAGGCUGUCUCCACCCGAGACUCAGUGAAAUUGAACUCGCUGUGAAGAUGCAGUGUACCCGCGGCAAGACGGAAAGACCCCGUGAACCUUUACUAUAGCUUGACACUGAACAUUGAGCCUUGAUGUGUAGGAUAGGUGGGAGGCUUUGAAGUGUGGACGCCAGUCUGCAUGGAGCCGACCUUGAAAUACCACCCUUUAAUGUUUGAUGUUCUAACGUGGACCCGUAAUCCGGGUUGCGGACAGUGUCUGGUGGGUAGUUUGACUGGGGCGGUCUCCUCCUAAAGAGUAACGGAGGAGCACGAAGGUUGGCUAAUCCUGGUCGGACAUCAGGAGGUUAGUGCAAUGGCAUAAGCCAGCUUGACUGCGAGCGUGACGGCGCGAGCAGGUGCGAAAGCAGGUCAUAGUGAUCCGGUGGUUCUGAAUGGAAGGGCCAUCGCUCAACGGAUAAAAGGUACUCCGGGGAUAACAGGCUGAUACCGCCCAAGAGUUCAUAUCGACGGCGGUGUUUGGCACCUCGAUGUCGGCUCAUCACAUCCUGGGGCUGAAGUAGGUCCCAAGGGUAUGGCUGUUCGCCAUUUAAAGUGGUACGCGAGCUGGGUUUAGAACGUCGUGAGACAGUUCGGUCCCUAUCUGCCGUGGGCGCUGGAGAACUGAGGGGGGCUGCUCCUAGUACGAGAGGACCGGAGUGGACGCAUCACUGGUGUUCGGGUUGUCAUGCCAAUGGCACUGCCCGGUAGCUAAAUGCGGAAGAGAUAAGUGCUGAAAGCAUCUAAGCACGAAACUUGCCCCGAGAUGAGUUCUCCCUGAGACUUAGAGUCUCCUGAAGGAACGUUGAAGACGACGACGUUGAUAGGCCGGGUGUGUAAGCGCAGCGAUGCGUUGAGCUAACCGGUACUAAUGAACCGUGAGGCUUAACCUUAC